UUAUAUAAAAUUUAUUGUUUCACGAUAUGCAGUGGGAUAAAUUGACAUUUUUUAGUUUUUUUUUUAAAAUUUUAAAAUAAUUUAAAGGUUGGAGCUUAACUUUUUUAUUGUUCACAAUACUUCAAUUUUCUAAAUUUAUCAAUAAUAUCUUUGUGUAUUAUUUAUUUGAUUUAUUUUAUUUUUAUAAAUUAAUUCAAAGUUAAAAUAUCCUAAUAUUAUCUCUAUUUUCAUAUAAUCUAAAUACUAUCAUAUUUAAAUUAUAAUUUUGAUUUUUUUAAAAAUAUAAGCAGAUAAGUAAUUUUACUAUUUUGUCAUAAUAUCAUUAUAUUUUUAUUAUUUUUGUAUUAUUUGCCAUAAGCAAAAGAACUUUUAUUUUAUCUCAACUCAAAUAUUUCUGUCUAUAAAUUUAAAAUAAUAUUUUUAUCUUUAAAUUCGAAAUCAAACUAUUUCCUGUAUCAAAAAAUAUAUUUGUAAUAUUUUUAUAGAUAUAGACUACAAUAUUAGGAAGAAACUACUCCCCAAUUUGAAUUGGCAGUUUUUUUCUUCUUCUUAUUUUCGUUUUUAUUUUAGAAUAAUUUUAAAACUCCAAAUCUAUUAAUUCAAAGAGAGUAACUAAUUAUUAACAACAAAUCAAUAAUAUUUUUAUCUUUAAAUUUGAAAUCAAACUAUUUCUUGUAUCAAAAAAUAUAUUUGUAAUAUUUUAUAGAUAUAGACUACCAUAUUACGAAGAAAUUGCUUUCCAAUUUGAAUUGGCAGUUUUUUUCUUCUUCUUAUUUUCGUUUUUAUUUUAGAAUAAUUUUAAAACUCCAAAUCUAUUAAUUCAAAGAGAGUAACUAAUUAUUAACAACAUAUAAUGCAUAAUUUAAUUUUUUUAAAAUUUAAAUUCCAAAAAAAAACUAACUAUUACCAAAUAUAACUAACUUUGUCAUAAAUUAUCAAGUGGCCUAAUAUGAGGUUGCCUAGUGGCCUAUCUAUAAUUGAGGGGCAACAGCGUGCUGAUGUGGCUUGCCUUAUUAACGAGGAAUUACUUUUAUCCUUUUUUUCCCAUUUUUUGAGCUUUUCCACUUCUAUUAUCUCAUUAAAUAACAAAGCUCAUAGAAACCGCCAGUUAAAUGACAAACGAAACGUUUCUUCUUCCUUCAUUGAUAAUGGUAACCCUUCACAUCUGCAAAAUUCUAGGCGUUCUACAGUCUACAUUGCAUAUUGGAUCCCAUCUCUCAUCCAACUUAACCUAAUAAGUACCUAACAAAUGCCUCAAUUACUCCAGAUUUUCUUAUAAAACACUCUAUAAUGCUGAUUCAUUUUCGAAAUAGAUUUUCCUACUACUUCAACAUCUCAUCAUUCUCUUCAAGAAAUUCAACACAGAAUACUACUUUGAAACGUAGAAGAUCAUAGAUAUAGGAGCAGUUGCAAAAUUCAAAAACCUUUGUGACCUUGUCAAAAAUAUUAUGACAUCAGUUCCGUUGCAUUGUCACUAGAGCAGUUCACGGUAAGGAUUCAAAUACAAUGGCCAGUAGCUGUUCUUCUAAUCCAAAUUUUAUGCAGCAAAUUCUAUAAUCAUUGACUCUCUUGAUCGUUUUAAUAAUAGGAAAAAAUGAUUUUGGACUGUGUUUUAAGUACUUGCCGCUACCAAAUUUUCAAGCUUCUGGUCAUUUGGCCUCACUUUCUUGCAGAUUCGAUCACAAAGUGGAAGAGAGCAUUUUGUUUUCAGUAAUUGUAGGAAAAAAUUCAACCACUAUUAUCAUUAGUUGGUGAUGUCUUCCUUCUCCCCUUUUUAUUCUCCGUUAACCGUUAAUCUACUUCUAUCUAAUUACUGUGCAUAUCGGAUUUGUUCACCGAGUACUAUCGGAAUUUGUAUCACUGAGACUGCUAAUAUAAACUUAAAAAUUUGAUAAGGUUUCGAAAGCAAUAGUAGCUAUAUAUCUUAAAUAAAUAUUUUAUGGGUAACAUUCACGCAUGCCUAAUGUUUACACCAAUUCAGUUAAUAUAUACAAUAUGUUUCGUUACAUAAUCUGUUAACAUUUAAUUAUAUUAAUCAGUACGAUUUCUAAGAUGGAAGUAGAGAAACAAAUAUUAAUUUGGUGUUUCUUUUUUCGACCUUAUUUUAUUUGAUUUUGUGAUAAAGAGAAUGGUGUUGUUCUGUGCCAAAGUUUCACCAUGGAAGCAACAAGGUAGAUAGGUGUUAGUUAUGGUGGUAGGUGGCUCUGCCCCUACUGCUUCCAUUGAGGUUUGUCCAUCUUUUCAUUUGGGUAAUUCCAUAAAAAAAAUGAUAUUUCUGUAGUUUUGAAUUUUCCUUAAUUUAUCAGUUGAUCGUUUUUGUUUGGAUUGUGAAAUGGUCACAAAUUCAUGUUGUAUGCCGAGGUGUACUCUCUCACUUUGUUCAUCGAGUAGCUAUUUUAUCGCAUAAAUUAUUUAGGUUACCAUAAGAAAUAAGCCUUGAGAGGUGUUUCAACGUUUGCGCUGCUUAAUUUUGACAGUUAUGACCGAAAAGCU
rnacentral:lncRNA from 1 species